CUGUUCCUGGAGGAGCUGAUCUUACGGUGAUGAGUGUUAGACAAACGUGAUAACCACCACACUACAGAAACCAUGACAGAGCUGCGCUUCGGCUCUUGCCUAUGGUCUGCUGAUGAGAAGAGCACAUACUUAAACUUUUGUUCAGCAGAGUUGAAUUGCCUAGCAUGGCAUUGGUGGUAUAGAGGUGAGCAUAGCUGCCUUCCAAGCAGUUGACCCGGGUUCGAUUCCCGGCCAAUGCACGGAUUCUAACUCGGAGCCUCUGGAGCUACUUUAUGGUAGUUGGC
ensembl:lncRNA